CCUACGGGUGGCAGCAGUGAGGAAUAUUGGUCAAUGGGUGAGAGCCUGAACCAGCCAAGUCGCGUGAGGGAGUACUGCCCUAUGGGUUGUAAACCUCUUUUGUCGGGGAGCAAAAGCCGGACGUGUCCGGCUGUGAGAGUACCCGAAGAAAAAGCAUCGGCUAACCCCGUGCCAGCAGCCGCGGUAAUACGGAGGAUGCGAGCGUUAUCCGGAUUUAUUGGGUUUAAAGGGUGCGCAGGCGGAUUUUUAAGUCAGCGGUAAAAUCGUGGGGCUCAACCCCAUCCAGCCGUUGAAACUGGGGAUCUAGAGUGUGCGAGAGGUAUGCGGAAUGCGUGGUGUAGCGGUGAAAUGCAUAGAUAUCACGCAGAACCCCGAUUGCGAAGGCAGCAUACCGGUGCACAACUGACGCUCAGGCACGAAAGCGUGGGUAUCGAACAGGAGUAGAUACCCCGGUAGUC
rnacentral:rRNA from 1 species